UCGGCUCAUCACAUCCUGGGGCUGAAGUAGGUCCCAAGGGUAUGGCUGUUCGCCAUUUAAAGUGGUACGCGAGCUGGGUUUAGAACGUCGUGAGACAGUUCGGUCCCUAUCUGCCGUGGGCGCUGGAGAACUGAGGGGGGCUGCUCCUAGUACGAGAGGACCGGAGUGGACGCAUCACUGGUGUUCGGGUUGUCAUGCCAAUGGCACUGCCCGGUAGCUAAAUGCGGAAGAGAUAAGUGCUGAAAGCAUCUAAGCACGAAACUUGCCCCGAGAUGAGUUCUCCCUGAGACUUAGAGUCUCCUGAAGGAACGUUGAAGACGACGACGUUGAUAGGCCGGGUGUGUAAGCGCAGCGAUGCGUUGAGCUAACCGGUACUAAUGAACCGUGAGGCUUAACCUUACAACGCCGAAG
rnacentral:rRNA from 1 species